AAAGACCUUAUGCUUUUGGAGCNGCCGAUGUCUGAUUAGCUAGUUGGUAAGGUAAUGGCUUACCAAGGCGACGAUCAGUAGUUGGUCUGAGAGGACGGCCAGCCACACUGGGACUGAGACACGGCCCAGACUCCUACGGGAGGCAGCAGUGGGGAAUUUUGGACAAUGGGCGCAAGCCUGAUCCAGCAAUGCCGCGUGAGUGAAGAAGGCCUUCGGGUUGUAAAGCUCUUUCAGUCGAGAAGAAAAGGUUGUGACUAAUAAUCACAACUCAUGACGGUAUCGACAGAAGAAGCACCGGCUAACUACGUGCCAGCAGCCGCGGUAAUACGUAGGGUGCGAGCGUUAAUCGGAAUUACUGGGCGUAAAGGGUGCGCAGGCGGUUUUGUAAGUCAGAUGUGAAAUCCCCGGGCUUAACCUGGGAACU
rnacentral:rRNA from 1 species